rnacentral:rRNA from 1 species
UACGAAGGGGGCUAGCGUUGCUCGGAAUGACUGGGCGUAAAGGGCGCGUAGGCGGCUUGCACCGUCAGAUGUGAAAUUCCUGGGCUUAACCUGGGGGCUGCAUUUGAUACGUGUGGGCUUGAGUGCGGAAGAGGGUCGUGGAAUUCCCAGUGUAGAGGUGAAAUUCGUAGAUAUUGGGAAGAACACCGGUGGCGAAGGCGGCUCACUGGCCCAUUACUGACGCUGAGGCACGAAAGCGUGGGGAGCAAACAGG